AGAGUUUGAUCAUGGCUCAGGAUGAACGCUAGCGGCAGGCCUAAUACAUGCAAGACGAACGGUAACUUUUGUAGCAAUACGGGAGCUAGAGUGUCGUAAGGGUGCGUAACACGUAUGCAAUCUGCCCUCAACAGGAGAAUAGCUCCCCGAAAGGGGAAUUAACACUCCGUAACAUUAUUGGAUGGCAUCAUUUGAUAAUUAAAACUGAGGUGGUUGAGGAUGAGCAUGCGCAUGAUUAGUUAGUUGGCGGGGUAACGGCCCACCAAGACGAUGAUCAUUAGGGGAACUGAGAGGUUGAUCCCCCACACUGGCACUGAGAUACGGGCCAGACUCCUACGGGAGGCAGCAGUAGGGAAUAUUGGACAAUGGGUGAGAGCCUGAUCCAGCCAUGCCGCGUGCAGGAGGACGGCCUUCUGGGUUGUAAACUGCUUUUAUCUGGGGAUAAAACGUCCAUGCGUGGAAGACUGAAGGUACCAGAUGAAUAAGCCACGGUAACUACGUGCCAGCAGCCGCGGUAAUAC
rnacentral:rRNA from 1 species